AGGGUUAUUGCUGGGGCUUGGUGCUUGUACUGCCAAUCUACUGCUCCUGGCGCCUUUUUUCCCAUUUUAUUGGAUAGGACAGAGAAAUUAAGAGAGGAGGGGACAUAGAGAGGGUGAAAGAUAAGACACCUGUAGACCUGCUUCACCACUUGUGAAGCACUCCUCCUACAGGUGGGGAGCCAGGGGCUUAAACCGGGAUUCUUGCACUUUGCAGUAUAUGCUCUUAACCCAGUACGCCACUGCCGGGCCCCCUUAAGAUUUCUUUAUGAGAAGGAGAACGGGAGCUUAACUCUGGCAUAUGUUAUGCUAGGGAUUGACCUCAUGCUGAGUCCAGUGCUUUCUCCACUGCACAUCCUCCCAGUUGCUAAUCUUCUUUUUAGUUUUAAGUACCCAUUAAAGUGGGUGGGGCACAGGGAACCCAGUUCCCAUCCCUAAGUCUCAUUUUGGCUUUAGUGCGUUGCUGUAGCCAGCUUCCUAAAAGUGCAGAGCUACUCAUUCCGAGUCUGCUGAAGCACAGAACCCGUCUUGUUUGCUUGAAUUGGGCCGUGAAAAAGCUCACAGCUAGUGCCUGUCCUGUGGGAGCAAAGCAUUUUUUUUGUUUUGUUUUGUUUUUUUAAACCAGUGUACUGCUCAGCUCUAGUUUAUAGUGGUUCUGGGGAUUGAACCUGGGUUCUUGGAGCCUCAGGCAUGAAAGUCUUUUUUUGUACAACCACUGCUAUUUCCCUUGGUCCUUUUAAAUUUUUUAAAAUGUACUUUAGGCAGUCCAGGCGGUGGUGCAUUUUAUCUACUCCACCACUUCUCACCAGGAGGGGAGAGAGAGAGGGUUCCCCUCAGAGAUGGAGUGGAGCGAUCCACAGCUUGGAUGUGGGUUUGCAAUGGGCGCCACUGCCGCCAUUCACAUCCUCUCCCAGGCUCAAGCGUGAGAUGCUGAAAUCCAUUCCCAGUAUCAAAAUGUGCCAGAGUGCUACCCUUGUUCUCUCUCCUCUCCCAUAAAUCUUUUUUUUUUUUUCUUUUUUUCUGGUGGGUGAGAGAGAGUGAGGACCAGGUUUGAACUUGAAGCUCUGCUACUUCAGGCACAAGGGCUUCUGGGCAGAACCACUACACCAAGCCAGCCAUCUCUAAAAAAGUGUUAUUUUUUUCCCUCCUUAUAAAUCUU